GACAAGGAAGGAAGAUUGGAGCUGGGAGAUCUCUAACAACUUUUGUACCUACUGGAGCAUACCAGAUGCUGAUAAAAAUGAUGGGACUGGACCUCUGUAAGCCUCUACUACUUUUGCAGUAGUAGUAUGUGUUUUGAAGCCAAACUAUGGAAAUGUUUGAUUUGUCUUUCGAUGGAGUUCGUGUUUGUUUGAAUAAUUGUACUUUAAAUAUUACCCAAAAUAAAUUUUUAUAUACAAAAAUGAAUUAAUUUAUUCAAUCACUUUAUACGUUAUUCUUCACAUUUUAGGAGGUUUUUAUAGUGUUUGCUAUCAUUUACUUACGUUUGUGCUAAUUGUCGUAUAACUGGCGAAUUCUUUGAAUCAUAAAAAUGACGAAAUCAGUAGAUAUUGAAUUUGAAAUAUUUUACCACACGUAUCUUAAAAGUGCGAUCUUAAAACUAUAAACUCUAAUUUGAAGCAAUGAGCAGAUAGGCUUGACAAAGUUUAGAAAGAGUUUUUUAUCGUUCUAUCGUUUGCACAAAAUUCUAUUUAUCUUCAUUUCAAUUAACGUAUUAUAUUCCGUCACGAUCUAUAAAUUAGUAGGGUCAAUGAUACUAAUACUUUAUUAAGUACUUCAUCUUCAUGUACUAUUGGUAGCUAAAUCUUUUAAUGAUUGCUUCUUCUUUUUUCCCUUUUCGAUUGGUGGUUUUUUAUGGUUAAAACUAUUAAAUGUUAUUGACUCAAUAUAUAGGCCUGAACAUAUUAAAAACAAUGGUAUAGUUUUUAAUCACUGAAUUUUGAUUGUGACACAAUUUUGAAAUUGAAAAUUAAAGUAAUUUUUUCAUUUCAUGGGUACUUACAUUACGUUAAUUUUUACCAACCAUAUUUUCUAAUCAACUCAGAUGGAGGAGGAUUAUAUUUAGGAGCAAAAUAGAAACCAUCUUCUUCAAUUAACCAAUAACAUAUUCCUGAGUCAUAUCCUCCUUCAACACCACAAUUUCCGCUAUCUAUGUACACUUUAAAUGCAACAUCUUUUGUACCCCAUCAAAAAUGACAAAAGAACACCGUCUCAUGAAGUAGAUUUGACCUGAACUUGAAAUGAAAAUCAUCGUUGAAUUUAGGAUAAUGCAUUCCAAGAUCGUCAUUUCCAGAUGCACAAUGAAAUUUGAUUGGAGGAUCAUUUUUUUCAACACCAUCAACUAUAUGACAUUUGUUUGUUGAAUAAAUAACAUUUGUUUGUUGAAUAAAUAAUAAAAUUGAUAAAACCAAUAAGGAAGAAACACUAUUUUAUUGCAAUCAUUUAGCAUAUAACAAUGUAGGAAGUAAUUUUUAACUAUUAAUACCAUUUACAAUAGUUUGGACUUUAUAAUAUUGACGACUAAAAAGAAAGAGAAGAAGUAUUACAUACAAGGUUGGAUUUUUUGACUAAUGAUUUUUUAUUUAUUUUUAGUAUUUUGGGUAGUAAUGAUCUAUGGUAGUUAGAUCAUCUUCUAAUUAAUAAUAUUUAUAGGUAACAAGAGUCUUAGAUGCACGCACUUCCUUCUCCUAUAACAAGUGUUUUUCAACAAAAAAAAAAAAUCCAAACUUGGUAAAAUUUUCUACCCUAAUUUUAACAACCUUGAAUUUUGUAUUGUCAAUCUUGUUUGUUUAUUACUACAGCUUACAUACAGUUUGAAGAUAGAUGUAAGUUACCACUACUAAUUUUGUCUUAAAUUAGCACAUUAAUAGAGAUAUACUUAUCUCUUUAAUUUGUUGUUUGACGAUAUAUUCUGCUAGCUGGGCCUCGAUGGGUGAUGAAGUUGUCGAAGUUGUCUCUGCUGGUGGUGAUGAAGUUGUCGAAGUUGUCGCCUCUGCUGGUGAUGAAGUUGCCUCUGUGGUUACAUCUGUCAAGAAUUUUAAGUGGAUCAUGCCCUGGGCUGAACAUCCUCGUAAGUUGAUCAGUUCCUUUGAACUUGUUUUAUUCCCUUUAAUUGCUACCAAGGCCAAUUUUAUGAUAAUUAUUGCAGCAGCCUUUCGAUCUAAUGCUAGGCUUCACCACAUAUUUCAUGCACACAUCCUAUAUAUGAUUUAAUUUGGAGGAAAAACACGGGAGAAUUGUGUUUCUAUAGAUAGAUACGUAAUGUAUGCUGGAGUUGCCUGCCUUGCUGAUGAUGUGAAAGACGACUAAUUUUAUAGUUUCCUGUUUGCUCUCCAUUUGGUUAGGGCUUUUGUAUCAGUUCAUCUUGAAUCUUAUGAUGGAUCAACAACUACAUGAAUUGUACCUUACAUAAUUGAGUUACAAUCCUUUCUUGUUUGAUUAUAUAUGCAGCUAGCCCCCCCAUGGCCAACCACAUUAUGCUUUUAUUUGUUUUAUCAUGUAUGCGCAGAGAAAAUACCAAAAUUUCUUUUUGGACAAUGUUUAGUCUUUGUAGUAGUGAUGCUUGUUCAUUGUCUUGGUGUGCUCAAUGAAGUGUGUUUUUUUGUAACUUCCAUUCUUUUUUUCUCAGGUGGUCUCAUUGUGGGUAAGGAUAUGUGGUCGUGGGUUAUGUUUGGUAACAUUCCCCAGUGCUCCAUAAUGAUGGGCAUACCGAUAUUACUCGGUGAUCCAACUAUUAACAAUUGGUUGCUGAUUCCCGACAUGAUUCUCAUAAUUUUUGUCAUGCUUACUCAUCAUGCUCUGCUGAUAUCUAUUAUUUAUUGGUGUCGUGACAUGCCUUUCCGUUUAAUUGGUGCCAAGGCCAAAUAUAAGCUCGAGGUCAUUCCUAUGAUAAUUGCAGCAGCCUUUCAUCACCUUUUGGAGUUCAAUUUUUUGGAGUUCAAUUAUGGGUAUUUCUGUCUAAUACUAGGCAUCACGACAUAUUUCUAUACCAUUGUGCACUUCAUGCGCGUAGCGUAUGAUAUUGGAGGAAAAGACGUAUUGUUUGGAUUAAUAAUGUUGGUUCUUGCUUACUUUCUCAAGGGAGGAUUGUUAGUUAGAGGUUUGGGUUUGAGCUUGUGUGUUGUAUUGUGUUUCUAUAGAUAUGUGACGUAUUCUGCUCCUGAAUUACCUGAGCAUGGUAAAAAGGAGUUAGAGCGGUUGCCUUGCUGACUGAUGAUGUGAUGGAGGACCAACCCAUCCAGAAUACGGACCAAUGGUACUUCUAUGAGUCUUCUCAUUACCUUACUUGGUGUUACUGUUACUGUAAUAUAUUUGUUGUCGGCCUUUAUGAUUUCACGCAUGUAUUUAUGACUGUUCUACGUUGUUUAUGAUUUACCAUAGGAUCUUGAGAACAAGAGAGCUCAAGUAACAUAUGAGAGGAGAAAGCAGUUAGCAAAACGUUGCUGAGGAGAAGCUUGGUCGUCCUCAACUCAUGGUCAUAUUACUCAUAUAAUUAGCGAUAAAAACCUUUAAAAACUAUAAAUAAAAUUUAAUUGCAGAUGACUAUCAUAAAUUUAUAAAAUAUUAAUUCAUUUUGAUGGCCCAUUAGUUCUCCAAUAACACAAAAUAGAUUUUAUUUCUUAUUAUAAUUAUCAAGUCUCAAUUUUUUUCAAAGCAAAUAUCAUCAUUAAUUGAUCUAUUCCUUGUUUGAUAUUAUGAUUUUAAAAAAAUAUAAAAUUAAAAUGUCAUAGUCAUUGAAUUAAAUAGUAAGACAACAAAUUUCAACAAUAUCCUGAAGCUCCAAAAUCGACAUCAAAUUAAACGCAUAUACAGGCGAAAUAAAUGCGUUAAAAAAAUCUAGACUAAUAAAUAAAAUUCAUAAAAAGACAUAAACUCUAUUUAUCAAUUAUAUUUAAUUCAUAUAACUAAGAAUAAACUUUCAAAAAGCAAUUAAGAAUUAAGAAAAAAAUUAUCAUAGAAUGUUAUAAAUAAACUCAUAGAUACACACAAAAAGGGAGAAAUCUUACUAAUUAAAUUUGCCAGGAGAUGACAUUGCUGGGAAAAACACAUGCAUAUAGAUAUAUUAGAGUGAGAGUUUGUAAAAAUUAAAUUUACUGCCGUAACGGAAACAAAUUUUAAUUGUUUAUUUAACAAAGUGAAGUGAUAGAUCCAUUGGUUGCUAAUGAUUGAUUAUUGCUAGAAAGUUUUUGAAUGAAAGAAAAAUCAUUUGGUAUGAACUGAUAUACUACCAUUAAGAAUAAUGCUAAAUAAUUUAUAUUCCGUAGCUGCUAAUUUGUGGGAUGUGGAUAAUGACUAAGAAUUUAUUUCUUAUUUCUUAUUAUAAUUUUAUUGAUUCUGUUUUUUUUUUUGUUAUAAUUUUAGUGAUUUUUCUUUGUCAUGCUGACAAUUUUAUCUCUUCUAUUUUUAAAAAAUAAAGUAAAUGCGUGACUUUGUAGUUAUUUCAGUAGUUAGAUUUGCAUUUUAUUAGGAACAAACAUAUUUUUUUUUUUUAAUUAUUUAAAAAGAGACCACUUCAAACGUACAUGAAUGCUUAAAACUGUUUUAAUUUUUUAUUUAAUAUAUCUAUAAAUUAAAUUGUUGUAUUUAUUAUUUAAUAUAUUUAGAAAUUAUGCGGUGCUGACAAGUGACACUAUUUCCUCUCCUAUUAUAUAUAGAUAGAUUUUAACAACCUUGAUUUUUGUAUUGUCAAUCUUGUUUUGCAAUUUGUGCUUGAUGAAAUUGUUUGUUUAUUACUACUACUGGUUUGAUAGAUGUAAGUUACAACUACUAAUUAGCGGCUAGGAUCCACAUUAAUUAACAGAGAUAUACUACUACUCAUGGGUGAUGAAGUUGUCUCUCUGUUCCUCCUCCGCACAUGGACGCUUUCCUCUGAAAACUUGAAGACCGUGGUUAGAUCUGUAAAGAAUUUUAGGUGGAUCAUGCCCUGGGUUGAACAUUCUCGUAAGUUGAUCAUUUCCUUUGAACUUGUUUUAUUAAUUCCGUUUAAUUUCUUCCAAGGCCAAUUUCAUUCCUAUCAUAAUUAUUAUUGCAGCAUCCAGCCUUUUCGAGUUCAAUUAUGAGUAUUUCUAUCUAAUGCUAAAUUGUGUAAUGGACAACGAUAUACUUCUUGUCCUUUUGUAGAUGUAUCUCUUUCUUGUUUGAUGAUAUAUGCAGCUAGACCAACCACAUUAUCCUUUUAUUAGUUUUAACAUGUAUGCGCAGAGAAAAUACCAAAAUUUCUAACAGUUUUUAGUCAUUGUCUUGGUGUGCUCAAUGCUGUGUGUUUUUUUGUAACUUCCAUUCUUUUUUUCUCAGAUGGUUCCAUUGUGGGUAAGGAUAUGUGGUCGUGGUAUUUCUUUAGUAGCAUUCCCCUGUGCUCCAUAAUCAUGGGCAUACUGAUAUUAAUGGGUGAUCCAAAUGUUAACAAUUGGUUGGUGAUUCUCGAUGCGAUUCUCAUGUUUUUGGGAGUUCUUACUCAUCUGGCUCUGCUGACAUCUAUUUUUUAUUGGUAUCGUGACAUGCCUUUCCGUUUAAUUGGUGCCAAGGCCAAAUUUAAGCUCGAGGUCAUUCCUAUGAUAAUUGCAGCAGCCUUUCAUCACCUUUUGGAGUUCAAUUAUGGGUAUUUUCUUCUAAUACUAGGCUUCACGACAUAUUUCUAUAUCAUUGCGCACUUCAUGCGCGCAGCGUAUGAUAUUGGAGGAAAAGACGUAUUGUUGGGAUUAGUAAUGCUGGUUCUUGCUUACUUUCUCAAGGGAGGAUUGUUAGUUAGAGGUUUGGGUUUGAGCUUGUGUGUUGUAUUGUGUUUCUAUAGAUAUGUGACGUAUUCUGCUCCUGAAGUACCUGUGCAUGGUAAAAAGGAGUUGGAGCGGUUGCCUUGCUGACUGAUGAUGUGAUGGAGGACCAACCCAUCCAGAAUAAGGACCAACGGUACUUCUAUGGCUCUUCUCAUUACCUUACUUGGUGUUAUUGUAAUAUCUUUGUUGUCGGCCUUAUGUAUUUACGAUGAGGUUAGUUAACUACCCAUUUAGAGUGAGGUGUGUUUGGUGCAUGGUAUUUUUUCUUAUGGUGAUAUUAAUGUGUAAUUUCAAAACAAUGAUAAUAGAGGAAAUAUUUUGCAAUCUAAUUAUCUUGGAAGACCUUUUUGGAAAUGUAGCCAAGACACGUUUAUCUUUUUUUCUAUAGAGCCUUGCCAACUUACUCAACAUUUUAACUAUUCUCUGUAGUAGGAAAAAACUGAACUUGAUCUUGUUUUCAGUACAUAUAUUCAUAAAGUAAAGAAAACUGAAUGUAUGUUGUUUCGAGCUGAUGCUUGGGUCUGGUUAAGCUGCAUGCAUAACACUCCUUUGGUGUUUGGCCCUUUUCCUUUCCUGGACUCUGUGUGCACGAUGAUCAAGUUCAAUAAGUGAAAACAAAACUUGAUCUUGUUUUCCGUACAUACAUUUAAAAAGAGGAAAAAACGGAACUCGAUCUUGUAUUCAGUACAUACAUUCAAAAAGUGAAUAUCUUUAAUUUGUACUGGCAAAGCUGAAAUAGUUGACACAUUUUCAGUAAGUAAACUCAAAGUGGAUUUUUGUAUUCAUUUUGAUGUAUUUAUGAAGUUACAGUGGUACACAACUUUUAGAUAGCCCCAUGAGCCGUGACAUAUAUAACAUAUUUUUGAUGCAGUUUAUGUUGUUGGAGUAAAAAUUCAGGGGGUAUUUGUGUUAUGCUGUUGAUAGUUUGUGCAGUAAUGUAUUUAUCUGUAGAUAAUAAAAUGUUCAUUUAUUUUUAUUUGUGUUCACUAACUUGUGAAGAAAAAUAUUUGUACUAGCUAGUAUAUUCAACGUCCUUUCUGUCUAGGAUAUGUCCAAGUAAUGCAACAUUGUUUAAUUUUAUGUUGAUUGAUAUGGAGUUUCUCACAAGAGACUUGCAUCGCAUGGUGUACUGUACUAUACAAGUGUGAAUUAAGAUAAACUCUAGUUUUUGAAAACCAUUUGCAUCAAUCAAUUCUCUCCCUGGUGUUAUUCCUCUUUUUGCUUUGCCCUUGUUCAUCUAAUUUUCUGCUUGCAUUUGCAUCGAUGGUGACUGUUCUCCGUUGAUUAUGAUUUACCACAGGACAGGAGUAACAUAUGAGAGAAGAAAGCAGUUAGCAAAACGUUGCUGAGGAGAAGCUUGGUCCUCAACUCAUGGUUAUUGCUCCCUCCAAUCAAGUUGAAAUAUUGUUUGUUUUGACAUUAGUAUGUUCCUUGUUAGGGGAUGCACUUUGCAUUUUUUUAGCAAUAUUUUUGUCAUUUGAUUUUUUUUUUUUUUUUGCUAUAACAUAGGGAAAGUUUUUCUUAAAUGAAUCUUAACAUAUAAUUGGAAGAAACUUAUGCAGAGUGUCGAACCAUAAACUGAAAAAUCAUAUUUAUAUUAUGCAGGGUGUACUGAAAAAACUUAUGCAGAGUGUACUGACCUUUGUACCUACUGGAGCAUCUAAAAAUGAUGGGACUGGACCUUUGUUUCUACUUCACUAAGCCUCUACUACUUUUGCAGUAGUAGUAUCAAUGUGCUUUGAAGCCAAACUAUGGAAAUGUUUGUUUGAAUAAUUGUAAGGCUGUGAAUGGAAAGACUACCAGGCCUUUUGUAUUGUUGAUACUAAUAAGUCUUCCAAGUUUUAAUUGUUGCUACUUUCUACAACUGUUCAUGAGAGCUUGGGGCUUAGCUUUGCAGUGUUCAUGAAUUAAUUCGACUUAAUUACUACAUGUUGUACUCAGUGAAUUGAACUCUUAAAAGGGAAAAAAAAAGUUUGUAAAAACUGACCUGAGCCAUGUUUGAACUAAAAUGUAAGAAACCUGUUUUCUUGACACUUAGUAAGUUUUUUCGAGUGUGAAAGUUUGCAUAGUACUUGGUUCUUACUUACGUAUUAAGAAUUCAUUUAAUCAAGAAGUAAUCCUUACUGGUGGUUGAUCACGUAGAGAUGAUGUUACAUAUCCAAUGUAAUUCCUAAGUGGAUUCUGGGGAGAAUAGUGUGUACGCACCUUGAGUAGAAAGACUGUUUCGAUUGACUCUUGGCUCAAGUAAAAUAUCAAAAAUCAAUUAUGUAGAACAAUGAUCUCGAGUUGUGUUUGGUGAUUUUGAAUCAUCCAUAUUCAUCGCCUUGCAAUUGGGCAUCUUUAAAGUCUCUUUAGGUUGGCAUAUCAAAAAAAGUUGUAAUCAUGUACAAGGAUAUUAGGGAAUUUAGCCACCUUCAUCAACCUUUUUAGUUUGGUUUGAGGAAAAAAAAAUCAUUUUUUUCGUGUUAGUUGAGACAAUUUGCCUCAGUUUUCACCACAGGCCAUUUGCCUCUGGCAUGGCACAUAUAUACCAUAUAAGCUCCAAGAGAUUAUGUAAAUUAACAUUACAAUACUACUAAAAGAAGUGGAAAAAUUCAAAGUGAUGGUAAUGUGGAAAACAAUCUUUAGGAAAAGCCACUUUCAUAAUGUAAUUGGAAAAAAAAGAUAGAUGAUGAUUGAAAUAUUGGAGACAAGGAGGUCUAUUCAGUAAAAUGAUCUGAACCAACUAAUAGAGAACAUGAACUUGCAUAGUAAAUCCCAACUAGUAUGCAGAUAGGAGGGAGAAUGCUAAUAGCGUUAAAGCAAAUCCUGUAACAUCAUCUUAAACGUGUUGCACAGAUUUUGCAGAUACAAUUUUAUUCCAAUGAGGAAAGAAAUCCAAAGGGAAGUAUGAACUACUCCACUGACAUGAACCAUAGUCAAGGUGCAUGCAAGUUGAUCCGGAUACCAUUAAUGAAGACCAAUGACCACCCAAUAUAGGUACAGAGUCUUAGACUUAAAGCUAAAAAGCAAAGUUAGAAAGGAAAUGACUUGCAAACAAACUGCAGAUUAAGUGGUGGAAUUAAAGAGUAGUAAACAGUUAGUGUUUCAAGGAAAACUGUGGAAGUCACGUAAGAGGAAAACUAUGCCAUAGAGCUUUUGCCAAAUUGAAAACGGUUUGCAUGGUUCUGUAUCCUGUAAGUGCUAUUUGAACCACUUCUGCUGCUGCCUUUGCUUGUUAUUUUUUCACAGUUUAAUGCAUCUUGAAUCAAUAAAGUUUUGAUUGGUACCUAGAGAAAGGAAGAGAAGGUCGUAGAACUUUUUUUGUUUGACAAGAGAGUGAAAAAAAGAAAGUGAAGCAGAAAAUUAUUUUUAUUUCCCUCUUUUCCUUUCCCUAGUUUCCAUCACAGGAUAAACAUAAUCCUUGUAUAACUGCAACCUAUAUUACUUCUGUCGACAACUCCUCCUGAGUAUUGGCGAAUGCUCGAUCCCUACUGGAAUGGAACAGGACGUCCCCUGAGCCGUUAUUUCCUUCCAGAUGGAAUUCAGACUGCAGAACCAGAUGACAGGAUAUGGGGUGGUCAUGAGUCUUUGUAAAGUUCAUGAAUGAAUUCGACUUACUACAUGUUGAAUUGAACUCUUAAAAGGGAAAAAUAAGUUUGUAAAAAGAACCACAAACUCAACAAGGCUCACCUUUCAGCUUGAAGCAUGGGCAGCAUAUUUUUCCUACAUAAUGCAAAUAUUAUCUCUAAACAAGUUUUGAGAUUGGCGGAACCACGCACAUAUUCCAAAACAUAACAAGGGAGUGUUAGGAAAGCCCUAAGACGGUUUUCAAUAUACUCUUGGCUCAACUAAAAUAUCAAAAACAAAUAUCUCUAUAAUUGGAAAAUAACAAUUUUCAUCAAGUUUUGGAUUUCACGGGUAUUAUCAUGGAGUUUCACUCGUAAAUUUGUGAAAUUCCAUAAUAAUAACCAUAUUUUUCAUUCACAAUGAGACAAAUAAAAGCUAAUUUUACAUUAUGAAAACGAGCUGACAGAGCAAUUAUUAAUACCAUUUACAAUGGUUUGUGCUUUAUAAUAUUGACGACUAAAGAGAAAGAGAAGAAGUAUUGCAUACAAGGUUGAGAAUAAAAUAACAACUUAGAGAAACCUAUGUAAUUACACUUCUAAACAUAAAAAAGAGUCCUAUAAGUAACAAGAGUCCAAAAAUAACAAUUUGCAAUUUGUGCUUGAUGAAAUUGUUUGUUUAUUACUACUAAGUACUAUAGCUUACAUACAGUUUGAUAGUGGGAAGAUAGAUGUAAGUUACCACUACUAAUUUCGUCUUAAACUUUGGUCUCGAUGGGUGAUGAAGUUGUCUUUGGUGGUGGUGAAGUUGUCUCUGGUGGUAAUGAAGAAGUUGUCUCUGGUGGUAAUGAAGAAGUCGUCUCUGGUUGUGAAGAAUUUGUCUCUGCUGGUGAUGAAGUAGUCUCUGGUGAUGCGCUUUCCUCUGAAAACUUGAAGGCGGUGGUUACAUCUGUCAAGAAUUUUAGGUGGAUCAUGCCCUGGGCUCCUGAACGUUUUCGUAAGUUGAUCAUUUCCUUUGAACUUGUUUUAUUCCUUUUAAUUGCUGCUAAGGCCAAUUUUAUGACAAUUAUUGCAGCAGCCUUUCGAUCUAAUGCUAGGCUUCACCACAUAUUUCAUGCACACAUCCUAUAUAUGAUUUUGGAGGAAAAACACGGGAGAAUUGUGUUUCUAUAGAUAGAUACGUAAUAUCAAUGAGUUAAAAUUGAUUUUUUUGUGACUUGUAUGCUAAUUAGAGGUUUGUAUACUGUUGUAUUCAAUUGGGUUUUCGUUAUUUCUUAAUGGGUAUAAAGUUUAGUAUUGGGUUGAUAAUCAAUUUGUGUUUUUUGGGUAAACAGGACAUUGUUUUAGCAAACAAGACAUUGUUAUAUUGAUUUUAUGCUUGCCAUAGGAAUGUGGUAACCUUGAAUCUGGCCCAAUAGCAUUUCACUGGAAUUGGCUCUUUUUUGUGCAGUACUAAUUUUGUCGCACAUUAAUAGAGAUAUACUACUUGUGCUUUUAUCUCUUUGUUGUUUGACGAUAUAUGCAGCUAGCCGGGACUCGAUGGGUGAUGAAGUUGUCUCUCUGUUCCUCCGCACAUGGACGCUUUCCUCUGAAAACUUGAAGUCCAUGGUUACAUCUGUCAAGAAUUUUAGGUGGAUCAUGCCCUGGGAUCCUAGUACGUUUUCGUAAGUUGAUCAUUUCCUUUGAACUUGUUUUAUUUCUUGGUAUUAAUUGCUGCCAAGGCCAAUUUCAUUCCUAUCAUAAUUAUUGUAGCAGCCUUUUCGAGUUCAAUUAUGGGUAUUUCUAUCUAAUGCUAGGCUUCACCACAUAUUUCUAAUCCUAUGAUUUUGGAGGAAAAAAGAAUUGUGUUUCGUAAAAAGUAGUUGCAUGCCUUGCUGAUGAUGUGAAGGCAUUUGGUUAGGGCUUUUGUAUCAGAAAACAUCCUUUCUUAACAUCCUCCCUCUCUCUAUCCCAUUUUCUUUGAUUCCCAAAAACUUUUAGGCUACACAAGUUCAUCAGUAGUAACAUUUUUUGACUUAAAAUAUUCAAGUGUUUUUUGGAUUCAUGCUCAAUCCUCAAACUUAUACUUGUGCAGGUACAGUUUAUGAAAUUUAUUUUGGCGCAGCUUUUUUUAACUACAUCCAUGAUAGCCAAAACAAUAUUAUAAGUUUUUCCUCUUGAAACAAAUUUCUUUCUUGUUUGAUGAUAUAUGCAGCUAGACGGCCCCCGAUGGCUAAUUCUAGCCAACCCAACCACAUUAUCCUUUUAUUAGUUUUAACAUGUAUGCGCAGAGAAAUUACCAAAAUUUCUUUGGAGACGACAAUUUUUAGUCAUUGUCUUGGUGUGCUCAAUGCUGUGUUUUUUUUGUAACUUCCAUUCCUUUUUUCUCAGGUGAAGGUGGUCUCAUUGUGGGUAUGGAUAUGUCGUUGUGGUAUAUAUUUGGUAGCAUUCCCCCAAUCUCCAUAAUCAUAGGCAUAAUGAUAUUACUCGGUGAUCCAACUGUUAACAAGUGGUUGCUGAUUCCCGACACGAUUCUCAUGUUUUUGGGGGGCAUGUUUACUCAUCCGGCUCUGCUGGCAUCUAUUAUUUAUUGGUAUCGUGACAUGCCUUUCCGUUUAAUUGGUGCCAAGGCCAAAUUUAAGCUCGAGGUCAUUCCUAUGAUAAUUGCAGCAGCCUUUCAUCACCUUUUGGAGUUCAAUUAUGGGUAUUUCUGUCUAAUACUAGGCAUCACGACGUAUUUCUAUACCAUUGCGCACUUCAUGCGCGCGGCAUAUGAUAUAGGAGGAAAAGACGUAUUGUUGGGAUUAGUAAUGUUGGUUCUUGCUUACUUUCUCAAGGGAGGAUUGUUAGUUAGAGGUUUGGGUUUUGAGCUUGUGUGUUGUAUUGUGUUUCUAUAGAUAUGUGACGUAUUCUGCUCCUGAAGUACCUGAGCAUGGUAAAAAGGAUUUGGAGCAGUUGCCUUGCUGACUGAGGACCAACCCAUCCAGAAUACGGACCAACGGUACUUCUAUGGCUCUUCUCAUUACCUUACUUGGUGUUACUGUAAUAUAUUUGUUGUCGGCCUUUAUGAUUUCACGCAUGUAUUUAUGACUGUUCUCCGUUGUUUAUGAUUUAUCAUAGGAUCUUGAGAACAAGAGAGCUCAAGUAACAUAUGAGAGGAGAAAACAGUUAGCAAAACGUUGCUGAGGAGAAGCUUGGUCCUCAACUCAUGGUUAUUACUCCAAUCAAGUUGAAAUAUAGUUUGUUUUGAAGUACAAUUUUGAUGUUUUGACAUUAGUUUGUUCCUUGUUAGGGGAUGCACUUUGCUUUUUUUUUUAGCUGUAUUUUCGUCAUUUGAUCAGACUCUUCCCUGUUUUUUAGUGCUUUUUUUUUUUUGCUAUAACAUAUGAAAAGUUUUUCUUAAAUGAAUCUUAACAAUGGAAAAACAUAUAAUUGGAAGAAACUUAUGCACAAUGUGAAAAAUCAUAUUUAUAUGGUAGCUCGUUCAUGAUCUGAAGUUUUAUUUGUUGAAUGUAAAACUCUACGAUAACUAAUUUCAAAGCAUGAUUGAAAAGUGACCAGUAAACACUAUUUUAUUUUACAUCAUUUUACCCAAAUUACCUAUUUGGAUAAAUUUAUUUUUUAUUUGAUCUUGCAAUUAUUGGGCCUCAAAAGAAGCUUUCACAAGUCGAUAAUAGUGGUUAUUAAUUAGUAUCACUUACAUAAAUCCUAUAGUGUAAUGACCUAAAUUACAUUUUAUUCUUAUUUUUUUUUAAUUUAUAAAAAUUGGGUAAGUCUAAUACUGAAAGGUCGAACCAAUGGAAUGAAGUAUAUCAAGACCGCCAUUAGAAAUUUCUGUACCAUUCCAAAUGCACUCCAAGAUGAACUCUCUGAAUUAACAAUGUUUUCCACCCCUCUUCCAGUAAAGAGAUUGGGAGUAACAAAUUCAAUAAUUUUUGAUGAAAAAACUAAAAUAAAUACGGAAAAGGGUCAAAAAUAUCCUUAAACUAUCUGAAAUAACUCAUAUGUACCCUUAAACUAUAUUUCGGCUCAAAACUACCCUUCCCAUCAAACUAUUGGAUCAAAAGUGCCCUUCUUAUUAACUGAUAGUAAGCUUUUUCGAGCGUGAAAGUUUGCCUAACACUUGGUUCUAACUUAAAUACAUUUUAUCCAGAAGUAGUCCUUGCUGGUGGUUGAUCACAUAGAGAUGAUAUGGAGGAUAGUGUGUAUAUAGCUUACCUUACCUAGAGUAGAAAGACGGUUUUCGAUAUACGUAAGAUAUCAAAAACAAAUAUAUAAAACAAUGAUCUCUAUACCACGUAGAGCUGUGUUUGGUGAUUUUGAAUUAUCCAUAACAGCCAUAUUGUGUUAGCUAGUUUAGGUUACUUUUCACCACAGGCCAUUUGCCUCUGGCAUGGAACAUAUUUACCAUAUAAGCUCCAAGAGAUUAUGUAAAUUAGCAUUACAAUACUGCUAAAAGAAGUGGAGAAGAAGUUAAAAAUUCGAAGUGAGGAAAACAAUCUUUAGCAUGACUCAAUAUUUAUCACAACCAUUCAACAAUCCAAAGUUUUCAGAGAAUAGCAAUUGGGACUAUUUGAACACCAAAAGUCAGUUCAAAUUAUCCACUACCUAAUAGAAAGAUAACAUCCCAUGCCCUCAAUCAAUGAAUGCGUAAGGUGAAUAGUGACCAAGACAAUAUAUAGCUAUCAGAGCACAGACCCCCAAACCAUGUGGGACUUAACAAAGGCAUGCUCCAUUAUCUUGAUCUUGACUUCUAGUUGAUUUCAAGGGCUUCGAGCUUAAUCUUGAAUCUAGUGGUCUUGAUCUUGAUCGUUCUUGAACUUGAACUUUAUCUUGAUCUUGACUUCUCGUUGAAUCCAAGGGCUUCGAGCUUGAUAUUGAAUUCGGCGGUUUUGAUCUUGAUCGUUCUUGAACUUGAAAUUUAUCUUGAUCUUGACUUCUUAAAUUUUGAAUUCUUGAACUUGUAGCUUGUAGAGAAAUCUGCAGUUUUUUAUCCACAAGCUUUCUCUAGUUUUUUGUUAGAAUUCUUGAACUUGUAGAUCAAUUUGUGGCUUUUGAUCCACGAGAAAACUCUACGGCUAGCUUUCUCUAGCUUCUUGUUAGAAUUCUUGAACUUGUAGAGCAAUUUGUGGCUUUUGAUCCACGAGUUUUCUCUAGCUUCUUGUUUAGAAUUCUUCGUUCCUUUUCUGAAUUAUGAGGACCCCUAUUUAUAAUUUUAAGGAAAAAUUACUGAAAUACACGUCUUAUGUUUUCCUUAUUUCCAAUAUCCCCUUCUAUUUCUAAAAACCUCUAAAAUCCCUUAUUUCUUUAAUGUUUAUGAGCUACAUAUUAAUGUAUCCGAGCCAGUAUUUAAUGUAUCCAAGCUACAUAUUAUGUAUCCGGUUUAUUUUAUAAUGUAUCCGAGCUAAUUUUUAAUGUAUCCGAGCUACAUAUUAUGUAUCUGAACUAGUUUAUAAUGUAUUCGAGCUACAUAUUAUGUAUCCAAUUUAUGUUAUAAUGUAUCCGAGAUACUCUUUAAUGUAUCCGAGCUACAUAUUAUGUUUCCGAUUUGUGUUACUUUUUAAGAGAUUAAUGUAAUUACAAACUAAAGAUGGAUAGAUUGUAAUUUCAUAUUAAAACUAUGAGAUUUAUGUAAGUUAUACUAGUUUUAAAGGAAUAUGAUUUUCUUCGGCCAAUCAGAUUUAAGUGACAUGACAUAUGGGCUUUAUGAAGCGGGCUUUAAUUAAAUCUAUAUUUAUUAGAUUUAAAUAUUUAACUCAAUUAUAUUAAUCCAUAAUAUUUGUUUGGACUAAUAUAUUCAUAAAUUUAAUAUAAUCCGAAUUAUUUUAUAAAUUUAUAUUUAAUAAAUUUUAAAUGCCUACAGUAAAAUUUAAGACAUUACAUAAAAUAUAUUAACACAUCAACCAAGUUAAAAUGAAUAAGAAAAAAUCUUAAAAUUGGAUAAUAAUAUCAACACCCAAAAUUUCAUUCAGCAAAAUCACAAGGAUCCAACUCUGAAAUGGAUGUAAAAUUGUGCUUGGUGCAGCAACGUAAUUUAGUUCUUGCAAUGCUCAUCAAUAUUCAUGAAAGCUUUCAACUACGUUACUAUUCACAUGCAUUCCUUUAUCUUCGCACUCGUGUAUGUUUCCUUCUAUUUCUUCACAAAAGUCUAAGCGUUAACUAUUAUCAUUCCGCUACAUAUUACUGCUAUGAUCUUUAUAAUUGAAAAGGAAAGAGAGAAGAACAAUCAAAGUGUUAUUGUAGUUAUAAUUGAGGGUAAGACGAUAGAUUCAAGUCCUAUCACACAAAAAGGGUAAGACAUCAAGUUCGAAUUUUGGUGCACCAUGAUAAAAGAUGUUGGAUUAAAGUCCCAUCAAUUUAUGGUAUAAGACACCUUUAUAUGGAUAAGACAUUUGAUUUAAGUACCAAUGCACUAUAUCGAUGAUAUAUUGACAAUUAAAGCAAAUAGUGUGCUUUGAUGAAAAUUAGUCAUGAAACAUAUUCCAUUGAAACCCUCCAUUACUAAAGUGAAUGUGAUAGUCAUGCAUAUUAUGUCUGAAAGAAGACAAGUGAUUGAAUAAUGCACAUGAAUGAGGUACUAAAGCUAUUAUAAUUUGAUAUGCUCACAUGUUUGUGUUCCAUUCAUGAAGAAUGAGAACUUUUGAUAAAUGCUAAAAUUAUAGAUCCAUUCUCUAAAGGGAAUGAGGUGUUAGCCACCAUGCUUGACGUGGAAAAGAUCGCGACCUUUGGUCAAUGAUGUGGUAUCACCAAGAAUGUCACUGAGUAGACAUGUGUUAUAGAAAAGUUUCGUACUUUAUCUUCAGGCUUGUAUUGGACAAGAAUUAGUGCAAUUGAGGCACAUUCUAUAGUAAAUAAGAAAUUUACUAAUUUCAUUACUUUCUUAAUUUGGCAUGGUUGUCUGGGACAUCAUUAGUCUAUAAUGUUUAGAUGAAUUAUGGAAAAUUAAAAUGGACAUCCAUUGAAGAACCUAAAAAUUCUUUUAAAUGAUAUUUUUUUUGUACUGCUAAUUAGCAAGACAAGUUAAUUGUGAGACCAUCAUCAAUGAAAGUUAAGAUUGAAUCCCCUGCGUUCUUGGAACGUAUACAUAGGGAUAUUUGUGGACUUAUUCACUCACCUAGUGGGUCGUUUAGAUACUUCAUGGUCCUAAUAGAUGAUCCUUCUAUAUGGUCUCAUAUGUGCCUAUUGUCAUCUCGCAACUUGGGGUUUGCAAAAUUAUUGACACAAAUAAUACGAUUACAUGCACAAUUUUUUGAUAAUUAGAGUAGUCCAUUCAGUGAUGGGAUCACGACUCACCUCUAGAAAGAGUAGAGAAAUUAAGAAGAAAUAAAUCUGAAAAUUACUCUCGGAGUAAUAAAAUUAAAAUUUACUCAUAUAAUAGUAAAUUAGAAAUUUACUAAAGCAAAGGCACAUGACAUAGUAAACUUGGAGUUACAUAUAUAGAAUUAUAUAGAUAUACAUAUACAAUUCGUCUCUCUGCCCUCUCUCGCUCGUCUCUCUCCUCUCUCUCUCCUAAUCUCGCUCGCCAGAUAUACAAAUAUAUAUGUAUACCAGUUACAUAUAUACAAUUAUUUGACAGAUAUACAUAUAUAAUCCGACAAAUAUACAUAUACAAUUCACAUCUCUCCGCUCUCUGUCCUGUCUCGCUCGCCUCUCUGUUCCCUCUAACAUGUAACUACGAAUCAUAAUUAACAAACUAUAGCUAUAGAGCAUAAUUAAGUUAUUUUUUAAUGGCUAUAUAUGAAAAAUUCCCUGGAAAAAUUGUUCUUAAAUAUUACCUAAAAUAAAUAUUCAUAUACAAAAGUGAAUCAAUUGAUUCAAUCAGUUUAUAUGAUAUUCUUCAGAUUUUAGGAGGUUUUAUAGUGUUAGAUAUUAUUUACUUGAUGUUUGUGCUAAUUAUCGUGUAGUUGGCAAAUUUUUUGAAUCAUAAGAAUAACAAAAUCAAUAGCUACUAUGUUUAGAAUAUUUCACCACAAGCAUAUUGAAGGUGUGAUCUUAAAACUAUAAAGUCUGAUUUGAAACAAAUAAGCAGAUAGACUUGAAAAAGUUUAGAAAGAGUAUAAAAAGAGUUUUUUAUCGUUCUAUUUUUCGCACGAAACUCUAUUUGUCUUUCUUUCAUUUAACGUAUUAUAUUCCGUCACGAUCUAUAAAUUAGUAGGGUCAAUGAUACUAAUACUUUAUUAAGUACUUCAUCUUCAUGUACUAUUGGUAGCUAAAUCUUUUAAUGAUUGUUAAUUUUUUCCUUUUCGAUUGGCGAUUUUUUAUAAUUAAAACUCUUAAAUGUUCUUGACUCAAUAUCAAUAUAUAGGCCUGAACAUAUUAAAAACAAUGGUAUAAUUUUUAAGUCACUGAGUUUUGAUUGUGACACAAUUUGAAACUGAAAAUUAAAGUAAUUUUUUCAUUUCAUGAGUACUACUCAAUUAAAUUACAUUAAUUUUUACCAACCAUAUUUUCUAAUCAACUCAGAUGCAGGAGGAUUAUAUUUAGGAGAAAAAUAGAAACCAUCUUCUUUAAUUAACCAAUAACAUAUUCCUGAGUCAAGUCCUCCUUCAGCACCACAAUUUCCGCUAUCUCUGUACACUUCAAAUACAGCAUCUUUUGUACCCCACCAAAAAUGACAAAAGAACACCGUCUCACGAAGCACAUUAAACCCGAACUUGAAAUGGAAAUCAUCGUUGAAUUUAGGAUAAUGUAUCCCGAGAUCAUCAUUUCCAGAUGCACAAUGAAAUUUUAUUGGAGGAUCAUUUUUUUCAAUACCAUCAACUAUAUGACAAGUAGUAGCAGCAUUUGUUUGUUGAACAAAUAAUAAAAUUGAUAAAACCAAUAAGGAAGAAAAAUAUUUUUCAUUGAAAGAAAACUCAUACUCUUAUAAUUAGUUCAAUGUUUAUCUUUAUCUUCUCUAGUAAACACCUCUAUUUAUAGUUGUUUCGUAAAGCUUGUUUGAAUUAGUUUUUCAGUUAUGACUCAUUAGUCAAAAAUCAUAAAUUAGAUUUUUUGACUAAUGGUUCUUUUUAUUUAUUUUUAGCAUUUUAGGUAGUAAUGAUCAAUGUUAGUUAGAUUAUCUUCUAAUUAAUCUGGAUAAUAAUUUGUGUUUUAUAUUCUACUUUUCUCUCUCUAAUAGUCUAGGUAGCUUUAAUUGGUAGUAGCUAUGAGAUUAGGAUGACAUAGAUUAUAAUAGCCUGUUUUGAUUGGCUUAAAAAAGUAAUUUUUACAUUAAAAAAAAAAAAUCAAACGUAAAUGACUUUUAAGUAAAAAAAAAAAAGUUAAACUUAAAUGACUUUUAAGUCAACAAGUAAAAAGUCAAACUUAAAUGAUUUUUAAGUCAAAAAAUAAAAAAUCAAACUUAAAUAACUUUUAAAUCAAAAAAUAAAAAGUCAAACUUAAAUUAUUUUUAAGUCAAAAAAUAAAAAGUCAAACUUAAAUGACUUUUAAAUAAAAAAAUAAAAAGAAGAGAGAGACCUACUUUUGGUUUUUAACUUUUCUCAAGUCAUUUUAAACUUAUUUUAGUUAUUUUUAACUUUGCCAAACAAUUCCUUACUUAUUUUAAGUCGCUUUUGACUUAUUUUAAGUUAUUUUUAUAUUUGUCAAACACUUCCAGAAGUAAGAAACUUACUUAAAAGUAGAUUUGACCAACUUUUAGGAGUCCGUUUGGAUUGACUUAAAAAAAAAGUAGAUUUUAAGUCAAAAAUAAAAAAUCAAAUACAAAUAACUUUUGAAGUCAAAAAAUAAAAAAGUUGGGGGAGACCUACUUUGGGUUUUUGACUUAUUUUAAGUCAUUUUAAACUUAUUUUAAGUUAAUUUUUACCUUGUCAAACACUUCCCAAUUUAUUUUAAGUCAUUUUUUAUUUAUUUAAAACUAUUUUUAUAUUUGUCAAACACUUCCAAAAAUAAAAAACUGAUGUAAAAAUAGAUUUGACCAACUUUUAAGUUAAUCCAAACACCCUCUAAUAGAUUAUGAUAAUAAAACAACUAUACAUGAUGAUUUUGAGAUCUAGACAAUUUUAUUAGAAACACUACAAUUUUCGAUUGACCAUAAUAGAGUUGUUUAAAAAUUAUACUAUGAAAUAGUUCGAGUUGUAUACAUUGUACAAUACUAUUACAUUAUAGCGUAGUAACAUGUAAUAGCAAAUUAUCUAUUCUAUUUUUGUAUCUAAGGGCGUAACUUAAUGAUUAAUGGAGUUGAUUGAGAAUUUUGAAAUCUUAAAAGUAACCAAAACACUAGGUCAAGAAGUACAGGUUUUAUAAACAGGGGCAUACUAAUAAUUGUUUGUAGGGUUAAUUUUGUUUUCUACCUUUUCAUGAUGGAAUGAAAACAAGAGAGGUAACUUGGUGUUCGAUUUCAAGUGGAUAAUUACCUAUAUGAGAAUGAGGAUCCAAUAUUUUAUGAUAAUUAUCAUGGAUUAAAAAGGAACAUACUAAUAGCAACACAAAAAUUUCACACAAAGGUGUCUUUAAUAGGUGAUAAAAAGACGUUUAAAGGGAAGAAAAAACAAUAAAAAGGAAAUUCAUAUGAUGAAAGGAAAAUUUCAGUACAUAAUUUUUGGUUAGUUGACUAAGAGCAGAUGGGGCGGACGAGUAGAGCGGCAUUAAUGUUAUAGGUUUGAUUCAUCAAUGUCAGUGGCUCAGUUAUAGCUAGAUUGAUGUUGACCUCAAAAUAUAUACCCUUAAUUACUCAACUAUAUUCAUAGUAUCAGAAUUUCAACCACCUGAUCAUUCUCAUGAAUCUCGAUAUAUUUAGCUUACUACAAUGAAAUAGAGCCACUAUAGGGAUUGACAACAUGACAUAUUCAUAAUAUUUAUUUUUUUUCAUUUCAGAUUAUAAUUGGAGAACAAAUAUUAAAUUACAUUAAUUUUUUACCAACCAAAUUUUCUAACAAAAGCAGAUGGAGGAGGAUUGUCAUUAAUAGCAAAAUAGAAGCCAUCUUCCUUAACUAACCAAUAACAUAUUCCUUUGUUAGAUCCUCCUGUUUCAUGCCCACAAGCUCCAGUUUCUCUAUACACUUCAAAUUUAAUGUCUUUCUUACCCCACCAAAAAUGACAAAAGAACACCGUCUCAAAGAAUAUAUUUCGCUUGAACGAGAAAUGGAAAUCAUCAUUGAAUUUGGGAUAAUGCUUUCCGAGAUCAUCACUUCCAGAUGCACAGUGAUAUAUUAAUUGAGGAUCAUUUUUUUCAAUACCAUCAACUACAUGAACAGUAAUAGCAUUUGUUUGUUGAAGAAAUAAUAAAAAUGAUAAAACCAAUAAGGAAGAAAAACUAAUUUCCAUUGAAAGAAAACUCAUAUUCUUAUAAUUAUUUCAAUGGUAUACACCCUUAUUUAUAGUUGUUUCAUAGAGCUUGUUUGACUUUUUUUUAUUUAUUUAUGACUAUAAGUCAAAAGUCAUAAAUUAGAUUUUUUGACUGAUAAUUUUUUAUUUAUUUUUAACAUGUUUAGGUAGUGAUUAUCCAUGUUGGAUCAUCUUCUAAUUAAUAUGGAUAAUAAUUUUUGUCUUAUAUUUUGCUUUUCUCUCUAUAACUAUAAAUCUAGGUAAUUUUAAUUGAUAGUAAUUAACUAUGAGAUAAGGAUGACAUAGAUUAAUAUUAUUAUGAUAAUAAAACAACUAUACAAAAUGAUUUGGAAAUCUAGAAAAAAUUAUUUGGAACAAGACAAUUUUCAAUUGACCAUAAGAAAGCUAUUUGAAAAUGAUACUAUAAAUAAUUCAAGUUGUAUACAUUGUAUAAAUUAUUACAUUAUAGUGUAGUAAUAUGUCAUAGCAAAUUAUAUUUCAUUUUUGUAUUUAAGGGUGAGACCUGAUGAUCAAUUUAUAAAGUUGGUUGGGAAUCUUAAGGUCUUAUAUUUAAAUCUCAGCCCCUUAUCACCUCAAAUAUCCUAUAAAAUUAGUUGAGAUGUACCCAAAUUGACCCAACACCGCAAUUAUCAAGAAAAAUUAUCUAUUCUAUAUUUCAAGUUAUCGAAUUUGACUAGAAGAAGGAAACAUGUACAUACACACACAUACAACAACAAUAACAACACCAACACCAAAUACAACAACAAUACUUAUGUCCCAAUCCCAAAUAAACCAGAUUCAGUAUGAAAUUACUUAAUUGUACAUUAAUCAUCAAUCUACUGCAACUCUCCUAAUUUUUUAUUCGAACUUGAAACCAACAAUCUAACAUAACAUAACAUAGGCAAGUUCGUAUAUUUAUUUUAUACAAUUUCUUCUACAAAAUCAAGAUGCUAACAACAUAUCUCUUAUAAGUUUAAAAGGCAAAAACAUUUUUUGGUGAUUAGGUAGACUUUCUUUUAUCAAAGGUACUUCUUUGAAUUUUUUCAUCCAAUUUUGCAAAUUAGGAAAUGAAUUUCCUUCAAUUAAUUUGACACCUCCAACAUCUUCUAUAAUUUUCAGCCAAUGACAAAUCCAUCCAAAAGCUAUAUCCACUAUUCCAAUUUAUCCUCCAAUAAAAAAUAUAUUAUUUUUCUGAUUUUUAAAAGCAUUUUCUUCUAUAAUUUUCAACAUUUCCAAGCUGUCCUUCACUGCCUUUUCUUGUUCUUCCCCUUUUGAUCUAAAUAUCAUCCAAAGAGAUACACUCUGCAAAAGAUUUUUGAAAGAUAAAAUUCAUCAUUAAAAAUAAAUGGAAAAGGGAUUUGAAAAAAAAAAUACCCUCAUAAUUAUUAUAGUGAAUGUUUUUAUUUAUUUGUGUUAAUGAAUUUACUUAAUAUAAAUAUAAAAUAACUUAUCAAAAACCACUAAAUUGUCUUUUUAGAAUCUAAAACUCAUAUAUAUUCAAGAUUUUGGAUUUAUCUCUACUGAAAUGUACUCAUCGAGAAGUGAAACAUGACAACUAAUAUGAGACAUGACAACUAAUAUGAGACGGGGCAGAGUAAAGAUUUUGUAUAAGCAUAUUAGAUGGAAAAGAAUCUUACCUUUUGUUCAAAAUAAUUCACCCAAAAUCUAGCCAAAGCUCUUUAUAAGGAUAAAUUGGUAGCAAUGGAUAUUGAUUUGGCCAUAUUUGAUCAAGAUAUUCAAGAAUGAUCAUAGAUUCACAAAUUGGUUUUCCAUCAUGAACAAGAAUUGGGAUUUUCUUGAAAAUAGGAUUAUAUUUCAAAAGCAAAUCACUUUUAUUUGCAAGAUCUUCUUCUAUAUAUUCAUAUGAUAAUCCCUUUAAUCUAAGAGCCCAUAUUAUUCUUAAUGAAUAUGGGCUUGGCCAUGAUCCAUGGAGCUUCAAAUCUUGAUCCAUUUCUAAAGUUUUCUUUAAUUUUCUUCAUCAUUUAGUGUCAUUUUAAAGGAAUGUUAUGCUUGAUCAACAAGAAAGUUUAUAAAUUAAUUUAAGAGAAAGUUUAGAAUAAUGUACACUUUUUUCUUAAUACUAUAAUAAAUUUUGGUUGAAGUCAAAUCAUAAUAUGUUUAGUAGUUAUCUUUACGAAUUUAUUAUAGACUUUAGUCAAAGAGUACGUAGGCUAACCCCGUCAUCAUUAUAAGUGAGGUGUGGAGAAGAUAAAAUGUAGGCUAAUCCAUCAUCAUUAUAAGUGAGGUGUGGAGAAGAUAAAGUGUACAUAAAUUUUAAUUAUCCUUAUUUUGAAAAGAUAAAAGAUUAUUUCUGAUAAACCUCGAUGCUAAACCCAUUAAGCGUAUAUUCAAACUUUCAUUCAUAUUAUAUAAAUUACAAAUUUUAUUUUUGACUUUCUUUUUCUCAAAUUCUUUUUUUUUCUUUUCAUUUUUCUAUUGGGUAGGUAGCUGAUAGUUGUUAGUUCAUUAAAAUAUUUUUCCUGUUCUGGGGAUUAAAUUUAAUUGGUUCUUCUUUUUUUUAGCAAAUGUUUGAAUUUUGAUUAGUUGCUUAUUUUCCAAUUAAUUAUACAAUCAACAUAUAUUGUAUAUAUUUAGAAAUUACAUAAGAAGUAUUAUAACUCAUUAUAAUUAACGAAUCAAAAUAUUUAGAAGACAUCUAAAAAAAACAAUGAUCAAACCAAAUAUUAUUUCUAUCAAAAUGAUAACUCGACAAACAUAUUAAAACGGAGGAAGUUAUAAUUUAUUAAAUAGUUGACAAAUUAAAAUUUUCAAGAAGAUGACAAUAUCAUCUCUCUCUGAUUUUUUAAAAACACAAACAUUUCAUCAUAAUUAGGGAGAUUCUCUUUGAUGAUUUGUUCUUCUUUGAAAUUUUGUACCCAAUUUAAUAAAUUAGGAAAUAAAUUAGGUUCCAAUAAUGUCACACCAAUAAUAUCUUCAAUAAUUUCAAGCCAAUGAGGAAUUAUUCCAAAAGUCAAGUCCACAAUCCCAAUUUUCUCACCACCAAAAAAAUUAUUUUCUUGAUCUCCAAUAAAGGCUUGUUCUUCUAUGAUUUUGAGCAUUUCUAUUGUUUCUUUGAUUGCCUUUUCUUGUUUUUCACCACUUGUAUAAUACAUUGCCCCGAUACAUGAACCCUAUAUGAUAAUAUAGUUGAUGUCAAAUCGAUUUGAGAUUUAACGAGAUAAUUUAAUUUCACAAAUGAUUAUCUAACUUUCAGUUUAUAAUAAACAUCACAAGAAUUAUUGAAUAUGAUCGUAUCACAAGAACAACAUAUAUAGGUUGCAAAAAGUAUAAAUUUUUCUUAUCUAAGUAUAGUUAUGUCAUCAACAACUCACCUUACGUAAUAACUUAGAAAACGAAAACUAAUAGUAUCUCAUUUUUCGAUCAUCGUGAGUUUUUUUUAAGUCCAACGAAAAAUGAGAUUUUUUUUUAAAAAAAAUGUUGUGUCGCGUGGAUAUUAAGUAAGAUAAAUUACCAUGUUGAAGUAAUAACCUCGUGUUUUCUUUGAUAUAUAGGCAUAAUUAAGUUGUUUUUCUAUUAUCUACCGUAAAAAUUACUCCCUAAAGUCGAACUUUCUUUGAUAUAUAGACAUAUAUAAUUGAGUUGUUUUCCUAUUAUCUACCAUAAAAGUUACUUUGUAAAGUCGAACUUUCUUUCAUAAAUAGGCACAGUUGAAAUAUUUUACUAUUAUUUAUAUAAAGGUUACUUUCUAAAGUUGGACUUUCGUGAGAUACGCCAAUUCAAAUUAGUUGAGCUUUAAAACGAAUAUCGAACGCAAGAUAGGAUGAAAAACCAUACCUUAUCUCCAGCAAAUUUAACCCAAAAUCUUGCAAUGGAUCUAUCAAGAGGAUCAAUAGGAAGAAGUGGAUUUUGAGGCCAAGUAUCUUCAAUAUAUUCAAUAAUCACCAUAGAUUCAGAAAUUACUUUUUCACCAUGAAAAAGAAUUGGAAAUCUCUUAAAAGCUGGAUUAUAUUUCAUAAUUAAAGAGCCUUUAUUUGAAUGUUCUUCUUCUAUAUACUCAAAUGGUAUUCCUUUUAGCUUUAAAGCCCAAAUAACUCUAUAAGUAAACAAAUUAUAAGAUGUUCCGUGGAGUUUUACUUCUUCCAUUUUUGAUAAAUUCAAGAACCAAAAACUAUACUCUAUAACUUAUGCAUAUAAUUGAAAGAAUAGAAGCCCUAUAUAUGAACUUAUCAUGUUAUAGUUUCAUGGACCACUUUGUUUUUUUUUUGUUUAAAUCAGAGCUUAAGUACUGCAUGAUGACGAUAUAUAAAAAUACAAAUCAGAUAAGUUAUAAAAUAAUCGCAAAAUAAUAAUCUUUUAUCAGGUGUUUGAUAUCCGCAUAAGAAUAAAGUAUUUUUUAACAAAGACAAUUUCAUACUCAUUAUAACUCAGUGCUCAAAUUCAAGAAUUCGAGAUCUCUGAUUAAAUAAUAUAUGAAAGAGUAAUUAUCAAUUCACUAUUUUUCUUAGGAACAUCAAUAUUCUACCACUACUAUGGAACAAACAUGCUUAACAUCGAAGUUCUGAUGGAUUCAGUGCAAGAAAACCAUGUUGAUAACAUUACUUAACAAUAUUGUAAAAUUACUAUACUUGAGCAGAUGGUCUUUUGAAAGCAACCUUUUUACCUCUACGAGAUAAUGAUAAAUUUAUGUACAUUUAACCCUCUCCAGGUUCCACUUUGUGAAAUUUCACUGAGAAUGUUAUUGUUGUAUGAUAAAAUUACUAAAAUCCAAAGAUAGGAUAUGAAUAUGUUUUGUUUCUAGUUGCUACAUGAGAUUCCAUUUCUUUUGCCCUUUAUUUGAUUUAUUAUAUUGAUAAUAUUAAAUUUAAUUGCACGGAUCUCCUUUUGAUAAAAAAAAAAAAAAAACUGGAUAGAAAAUAUAAUCAUUUUAUUUAGGUAGAUCAUGAUUAAUUAUGAUAUAAUUAAGGAUUUAAUAAAUCAUAAGAAACCAUUCUAAUUUCAGAGUUGAAAUUGACAUCAUUCUGACUGGUCCCAAAAAAAAAGUUUAAGAAAAAUAGAUUAAAUCAUAAGGUGAUUUGCGUAUAUUUAUUUUUUCAGACUAUAUAUGUUAUUUGUUAUUAUUGUUAUACAUCAAAUCUAAUUAUAUUAGCACCGUUUAUCUAAAAAUCUCAUUAUUGCUAUAAUGAGGUGUUGUUACAUUUGUAUCCAAUCAUUUGACAUUUAGAUCAAUCUCAUUAAGUUAUUAUAAAGAAAAAAAACACAAAAACAUUGUUUAAUAUUUUGAUAUUUUAUUAAUAUUAAUCAUAUUAAACUUUAUCUCAUAAAUUAUUAAUUAAUUCCAAUCAUGUUUUUUAACAUAAUUAAGCUGGAGGAGAAUUAUGACCUCCAAAAUAAAAAUAUCAAAAAAUUGCUGCUUUGGACCCCAAUAAAAGUGACAGUAAAAACGAGUACCACCAAAUGCAUGCCAAUAUGAAAUGUAAAAUUAAAUUCACCACCUACUUUAAGGUUUUGAUCUUCAAGAUCGUCAUCUUUAGAUUAACAACGAAAUUUUAAGACAGUAUCGUAGUUUGGAAGCAUAUCGAGGAUGUGAACCGUUUAUUCAGCGGUAAGGGGGAGAGAAUUUGCAGUUUGAACGAGGAUAGUUAAUAUGACUACUACUGAAAGUAUUAUGACUUUGGCAAUGGAGAAAUUUUUAUAGAUUUGUGUAGUGAAUUAGUAUAUGUUUUAUAUUAGUUUUAUUUUUCCACUUAUAUAUAGUUGGUAUGUACGAUGGUUAGACGAUUGAGAUGGAAAUGUUUAUUCAAUAAUUUUUGCUAAUUUAAAAUGUGGACUUUGAGAUAACACUAUGAACAAUUUAGAUAGGGAUAUUUAUUAAAUAAGGUAUAACUUUCAUAAAUUUCAUAGGGUAAGGACUUUGUGUAUCAAAAUAGUCUAGUAUGGUAUUAUCCUUCUAUAUGUAGAAGUUUUUGUAAGAUAACUUACCUAAUAACGACUUCGUGUAUCAAAAUAGUCUCAAUAUGGUGCUAUUAUCUUCUUAAUUCAUACAAUGCUUAGGUUACCAAGAAUUCGAAAUCUAAUUUUCCUACAUUUUCAGAAGAGUUUUUGCCUAUGCCAUGUAUGGUAAGACCAAAUGAAGGUAUAUCAAUUGCACCUGCACCACCUUUGACAUUUAAACAACUACGUCUGAGUCUCAAACUAUCACCUGUGAUAUCCACUAAGGAAAUUUCAAAGAGCAUUGCUCAUAGUGUUACUACUACUACUAAUAGUAGUAGUAGUAGUACUGAUUUUGCAAGAUGCAUAAUCCUUCUUAUGUACAUGACUUGGGUACUUAUCUUAGUCUGCUCAAGUGUCCAAAAUAAAAUGAAAUAGACCAUCGAGACUAGCAACAAUGCGAGAAAAAUAAGAGAAAUAUAUUUUCUUUCGUCCUAAAUUAUUUGUUGUGUUUCACUCUUUUAUAGGUAUAUAUAAAGAAAUAUUGAUUACUAUUUUAUCAUCAUUUAUGUUUUAAGAUGUAAUUUGUAUUAAAUAUUUACUAUAUUAACAUAUUUGUAGUGUUCAAAACAAUUACUACUAAGAAUAAUAUAAGGAAAAAGUAAUUAAUUUUAUCUAGAUUUCUAAAAUAAUGAAUAAUUUAAUUAAGAUAAUUAUUCUAAAAAUCACGAUAAAUAAUUUAAGACGAAAAUAGGACAUACUUUGUGUCACACCCUCGAGCCUACACCCUGGACGUGGCCGGCACUCGAGAACCAUUGCUGGCCCCAAGCGAACCCUUGGCCUAGCUAAACUCUCAGAGGAAGACUUAAUCAUCAAUAAAUGAAAAUCAAAUGUAAACUUUACUCAACUGUCUCAAAAGUAAACUUAGAAUGUUUUAGAAAUAACAUUCAACUAGUCAAAUAGACAACUCAAGUCUUUAAACAUUUAUAAUUGACAAUGGAAAAGACUCGUGAACUAUUGUCUAUCUAUCUAUGAAGCCUCUAAUACUAUUAGGGAUGUCGAUACAAGACCUCCGAUCAUUCUAACAAAACUGAAUAAUAAAAUAUAAUAAAGGGAUUCUCUGGAAGCAAGUAGGCUCACCAAACGACUUUGAAAAUCGACUAAUCAAUGAAGUGUCGGAUGCUGAUCAUGGUUACCUGUAUCUGCAUCAUAAAAGAUGCAGGCCAAAUGACGCCAUGUCACGCCCCGAGCCUACACCCUGGGCGGGACUGGCACUCGAAGACCAUAGUUGACCCCAAGCGAACCAUUAGCCUGGCUUACUUAACUCAGCGGAAGACAAUAUUCAUAUCUAUAAUGAUCAAUGAACUUAACUGAACUGAAUAAUAAAAUAACUGAAAAUGUUUUAAGGAUUAAACAUUCAACUUGGCCAAAAGUGGCAAUCCAAGUCUUAACAAUAAGAAAUGAUAAUGAAAAGACUCAAAAGACUAACAUCUAAUUGUCUAUGAAACCUCUUAAAACAACUGAGAUAGAUGUUGGGACAAACCCCACCACAUCCUAAUGAACUAAAUAGAAAGCAAUGAAAAUAGAUCCUCCGGAAUGCAAAGAGGCUCACCGACUGACUCUGAACUGCUCACUGGAAUGUCGAUCCUAGUUACAUGUGUCUGCAUCAUAAUAAGAUGCAGGCCAACUGGCAUCAGUACAUUGAAUGUACGAGUACGCGAGUUGGAAUGCUAAAACAACAUAGGCUGGAAGGAGAAUCUGAAAGAAAUACCUACUUUGGCUCUUCUCAACUCAUGAAUACUUAACUGAACUCAUUUCAAUAUAAAGCAGUUUAAAACAAGUGCAAUAUAAAGAAAAACUGUUUAAAAACAUAAUGUCAACUCUAUGUAUAUUCAAGGAUACAACAAAACUCUGAAAUGUAUGUGAAAAUACAAUAAACUGUGUAUAUNNNNNNNNNNNNNNNNNNNNNNNNNNNNNNNNNNNNNNNNNNNNNNNNNNNNNNNNNNNNNNNNNNNNNNNNNNNNNNNNNNNNNNNNNNNNNNNNNNNNNNNNNNNNNNNNNNNNNNNNNNNNNNNNNNNNNNNNNNNNNNNNNNNNNNNNNNNNNNNAAACCUUAGCUCAAAGGCUAUCUUGGAAAUCAAAGUUUCCCCUUUUGCUUUAUUUAGAAAGCGAUUACUUUUUCUUAAAACUAGACCGAAGGCUUUUUGGAAAUCUCAGUUUCCGUUCUUAUUUAAUGUGAAAACAUUUUAAAUCUCUUUGGGAAUACUUAGUCCCCAUAUACUUUUGAAGAAAUGAACUUCAAACUUUACUCUUUACUUUUUACUCAACUUUGAACUUUUAAGUCUUAAAACAAAGUUAAAACAUUAGGAAAAGACUUUUGGAAAACUCUAAGAACAUAUCUUGACUUGACUCUUACUUCUCUUAACUUUGAUCUUAACUUUCCUUGAAUUGGAUUAUGGAUUCAAGUUUCAUGAUCUCAUGUUUAUGGAUGACUUUAUGAUAUUUAGAUGUACCUUAGAGUGUUGGAAUCAACUAGAAAACGUAGGUACAUCACUAAGGAACACGAACAAAAAGGUGGGGAACUAAUGGGGAGAACUGGCGUCCCUAGCGCUCUGAGAGGCACGGGGAGCCAGCCCUCAAAUUUCAGAGAACUUUCUAUGGCGCUCUGGCUGGCGCGACGCGCCAGAGGCCAAAGUUCAGAGAAACUUUUGUGGCACGGCUCCCCAAGCCCUUGCCAAAAAACUCUGAUUUUUCUCCUUCGUUUUUCAUCUCUAAACCCUCUAAAAUUCAAUAGUUCUUUCCCCAAACACUUAGAAUCAUUUAUACCCUCAAUAUAAAAUAGAUUCAACACAAAAUUUCACCCGAAAACACGAAUCAAAUCAACAAGAGACUUCAACAACACAACCAUCAAGAACUCAACGAAUUUUAAGCAAUGUUCUUCAAGAACUCACUUUCUUUGCAUUCAAAUAACCUAAAUUUGUUGUAUUGAAACAAGAUUGGCGUGUGGGUGAACUAACCCAACACUAUGUGAUCUCACAUACCUUGUAGGGAUCACCCCCGACGAAUUCCACUCGCAAAGCUUGAACGUUCUUGGCGAUUUCUUGAUUUCUCUCCUCUUUUCUCUUCUUUCUUCUCCUCUCCAAGCCCUAGCGUAAAUUCUAAUUUUCUAAACUGAAUAAAGUCUUGUUUUACCCNNNNNNNNNNNNNNNNNNNNNNNNNNNNNNNNNNNNNNNNNNNUCGGAUUAACAUUUCCUUAUUCCAACAGCCCAACUUCCAAAGGGUAUAACUUACUCAUACGAACUUGGAAUGGUGCAAACUUAGCGGCGUUGGAAAGAUCAUUCCAAGAGUUUUCCAAUCAUAUCUGGAACUACACCUAACUCAUCUUGAGCUAGGAGUUAUGGUCGUUUGAAGUUGACCAAAAACUCACUUUAACUUAAAAUUUUCCAGAUUUCCUUACACUUUUCCAAAAACAACUAUUUCCAGAUUUUAAACUUCCUUCUAGUUCUUUCUAGUUGCGAGAUGUUACACGCCAAUACAUAUAAUGUACGAGCAUGUGAGGGGUAAUCUAAAACAAGACAUAAGCUUGAACUGAAACCGAAGAAACACUUACCUCUUCUCAACUCAACUCAACCUCAUUUCAAUAUAAAACAAUAAAAAUAAUGUAGUAUAAAGAAAAGCUUUAAAAUAGUAGAUAACAACUCAAUGUAUUAGAAAAU
rnacentral:lncRNA from 1 species